CAAAAGAUAGUUUAAGGAAAAUAAUAACAUUGGAAGUUAUAGAUUAAAGUAUAUUUAUUUUUUGA
rnacentral:tRNA from 1 species